rnacentral:rRNA from 1 species
AAGUGGAGCAAUCCAUGAGUACAGUGGCGUACGGGUGAGUAACACGUGACUAACCUACCCUCGAGUGGGGAAUAACCUCGGGAAACCGGGGCUAAUACCGCAUAACAUCUUCGGAUCAAAUGCGUAAGCAGCUUGAGGAGGGGGUCGCGGCCGAUUAGCUAGUUGGCGGGGUAAUGGCCCACCAAGGCAAUGAUCGGUAGCCGGCCUGAGAGGGCGCACGGCCACACUGGAACUGAAACACGGUCCAGACUCCUACGGGAGGCAGCAGUGGGGAAUUUUGCGCAAUGGGGGAAACCCUGACGCAGCAACGCCGCGUGGAGGAUGAAGCCCUUUGGG